GAUGAACGCUGGCGGCGUGCCUAACACAUGCAAGUCGAGCGAUUCUCUUCGGAGAAGAGCGGCGGACGGGUGAGUAACGCGUGGGUAACCUGCCCUGUACACACGGAUAACAUACCGAAAGGUAUGCUAAUACGAGAUAAUAUGCUUUUAUCGCAUGGUAGAAGUAUCAAAGCUUUUGCGGUACAGGAUGGACCCGCGUCUGAUUAGCUAGUUGGUAAGGUAACGGCUUACCAAGGCGACGAUCAGUAGCCGACCUGAGAGGGUGAUCGGCCACAUUGGAACUGAGACACGGUCCAAACUCCUACGGGAGGCAGCAGUGGGGAAUAUUGCACAAUGGGCGAAAGCCUGAUGCAGCAACGCCGCGUGAGCGAUGAAGGCCUUCGGGUCGUAAAGCUCUGUCCUCAAGGAAGAUAAUGACGGU
rnacentral:rRNA from 1 species